rnacentral:rRNA from 1 species
UACGUAGGCAGCGAGCGUUGUUCGGAGUUACUGGGCGUAAAGGGUGUGUAGGCGGUUGGAUAAGUGUGGUGUGAAAUCUCCCGGCUCAACUGGGAGGGUGCGCUACAAACUGUCUGACUAGAGUGUGGGAUGGGUAAGUGGAAUUCCUGGUGUAGCGGUGAAAUGCGUAGAUAUCAGGAGGAACACCGGUGGUGUAGACGGCUUACUGGACCAUAACUGACGCUGAGGCGCGAAAGCUAGGGGAGCAAACAGG